UACGGAGGGUGCAAGCGUUAUCCGGAUUCACUGGGUUUAAAGGGUGCGUAGGUGGCGCUGUAAGUCAGGUGUGAAAUUUCGGAGCUUAACUCCGAAACUGCAUUUGAUACUGCGGUGCUUGAGGACUGGAGAGGAGACUGGAAUUUACGGUGUAGCAGUGAAAUGCGUAGAGAUCGUAAGGAAGACCAGUGGCGAAGGCGGGUCUCUGGACAGUUCCUGACACUGAGGCACGAAGGCCAGGGGAGCAAACGGG
rnacentral:rRNA from 1 species